CGUGUUCCGGGUCGCCGUGCGGGGGCCCGGGGACGACCCCUUCGACAUCCCAGCCAAGCGGGCGCCCGUCGAGCGGCUGCGCCGAUGGAGGCAAGCUGCACUUGUGCUCAAUGCUUCUCGGCGAUUCAGAUACACUCUUGACUUGAAAAAAGAGGAAGAAAAAGAACAUAUAAGGAGGAAAAUUAGGGCUCAUGCUCAAGUCAUACGAGCUGCGUUACUUUUCAAGGAAGCAGGAGAAAAGCAGAAUGGCGAUAGAGAAUUACAAGCGAGAAGUUUUAUCAACAAGGCCUGGAGGAUUAGGCUUGCCAUGGACAUGGCAGCGACAGUCAACCGCAGCCUUGCAUCGAUGCACCGGGCUUACU